rnacentral:lncRNA from 1 species
CUUUUAUACAAUUUAUUCUUGGGAAAAUUACAAAAAGAACUCCAAAACUUCACUUUUUAUGCAAUUUACCCCAACCUAAUUUCUUUCUCAUUUUUUUCUCCAAAAUAUACUUUCUAUACAAACCCCCAACCAAAUACAAAAUAAAAAAAUGCCUAAACUACUGUCAAUUGCUUUUACUUUACCCACGACUCUCUCUCCUCUAUCCCACCAAAAUAGGGAGCUCCGGCACCGUGUAAGUGCAGUUCAGCAGUAGCACUCUGGCACUAUGUAAAAGUCAGUCUGGCAGUAAGGCUCCGACACUGUGUAAAGUGCAGUCCGACAGUUGAAAAGGGCGAUCCGAAGUUACAAAGGGAGUCCCAGCACUUGUGCGCUCUGGCAACGUGAUGGUGCCUCCGGCAAUGUGCUAUUGGGGUCCAAAAGUCAACGUCAAAUCUGUCCAAAAUGAUUUUUGUGUACGGGAAGGAUAUUUCCAUCUAAAAA